UUGGGCUGGGCGCUGCCAUGGAAACUGGAGGCUGUGGUUGUAUUGUCAUAGUAACUGCUGUGUGUAGGCCGGGUGACCCUCCCGUGGAGAAACGGGUUCCCGGGAAACCGCCCAGGAUUCCCGGCUUGGAUUCCCUGCCUUUUUAAAAGGCUGGGAGUCGAGAUUGUUAUCCGAGCAGGAAAGUCCGUUUCUUCCCUUACUCUCCCAGCAAAAUUUGGGGGAGACCCGGAGGCAUUCAUUCUGGGCAUUUCCAACCUUCCAAGGGUGAAAACCACCUCCAUAGUUUUCUCCCAGAGCCGGGUGGUGAGAGGACCCGGCCCGAGAAGGAAACGCAGAAUCGCUUUCCAGGUCUUUCUCUGAAUCCAACGCCUGUUAACCUCGAACAAUGUUUAUUUGGAACAUGUUUCAGUUCUCAGGAAACGAAAGUACAGCCCACUUGCAAAUAAGUCUCAAGGACAGCUUGUCAUUAACGAAACAGAAAGUGAACUCUGCCCCCUCAUGCAGCAAGCAAGCGCGAGUAUUGUGCGCUGUGACGCGCAAGGCAACUGCAGCAGUACAAUGGCCCCUGUCUUCCACCAGCACCAACGCGCUGCCCACUCAUGGAAAAGAGAGCCACCUAGUGAGAAACUGUUUACAUCUCCGCUGUGUAGCGUUCAACUCUGAAAGUCAAAGGAUGGAAGUUACUACUGUAUAUACCCAAAUAUUCUAGUUUGUUUUCUUUAAAGUUAGCACACAGAGUGAUAGGUUCCAUUAUGGCGCGCGCGCGCGCACACGCACGCACACACACACACACACACACACACACACACACACACUCUUUAUUCUCUCCCCCCACUAAUUUCCUUCAUACUAUUUUCCUCCCCCUCUUAGUCCUCCAUUCUGCUUUCAUUGUCUGGUGAAUUCCACACCACUUCCCUCCCUUAAGACUCUGUCUUCCCUUUUCAUGGUCCUGUUUGAACUUUCAUGAUGCAUACACAUUAUAAACACAGAUGCUGUGUAUGAGAGAAAGAAAAUGUAUUUGUCUUUUUUCAGUAUGGCUUAUUUUUCUUAAUGUUUGACCUCCAGUUCCUUGCUUGAAAAACUCCAUUAUGUAUAUGUACAUUUUCUCAUCUGUUGAUGGGCACAUAAGCUGGUUCUAUUUCUUAGCUAUAAGGAAUAGUGCAACAAUAAAUAUGAAUGCGCCAGGA